CUCCAGUUCAUCAUCGACAGGAUCAAGGCAAGGCUUGCGGGCUGGAAGGGCAAGCUGCUACCGAUGGCCGGCCGCUGCGUCCUCGUCAGAUGCAUGCUGAGUGCCAUGCCAACCUUCACCCUCACCGUCCUUCAUGUCCCACAAAAAAUUCUCAAAGAGAUCGACAAGUGUAGAUGUCGCUUCCUCUGGUGCCAGGACGACGAGGUUUCUGGCGCCAACUGCAAAGUCAACUGGCCAGCGGUUUGCGCCCCGACGGAGCACGGUGACCGGGGCAUCCCAGACCUGCAGCGUUUUGGCAGAGCGCUACGGCUGCGCUGGCUCUGGACUGCCUGGCACCACCCGGAGCGGCCUUGGGUGGGCACCGAGCUGCCUUGCGACGGCGCGGACAAGGCGCUCUUCGCGGCCUCCACUAGCGUUGCGAUCAGCGACGGGGCUCGGGCCUCUUUCUGGCUCUCUCCAUGGAUCAGCCAGGGCUACCUCUCGCAACAGUUCCCAAGGCUGUUUAGCUACUCGCGGCGCAAGAACAGAUCAGUGCGGGAGGCCCUAAGAGACGACAUGUGGAUCCGCGACCUCGCCCAUGGCGACAACUGCCACCUCCUGCCGGAUGCCCUCACCCUUCAUUGUCUGCUCCAGGGGACGGACACGCAGCUGCAGCCAGGAGUGCCGGAUGAUCUGUCGUGGAGUAGAGCGAGCUCAGGAAAGUACACAGCGAGGUCGGCCUACCUGGCACAGUUCCAAGGGAGAACAGUGACCCCUUUCGACCGGCUGGUUUGGAAGGCCUGGGCGCCGGGCAAAAUCAAGAUCUUUGCCUGGUUGCUUCUCUAG
rnacentral:rRNA from 1 species